rnacentral:rRNA from 1 species
CGGGCGGGGUGCUACCAUGCAGUCGAACGAUGAACCUCCUUCGGGAGGGGAUUAGUGGCGAACGGGUGAGUAACACGUGGGCAAUCUGCCCUGCACUCUGGGACAAGCCCUGGAAACGGGGUCUAAUACCGGAUACGAGCCUCCAAGGCAUCUUGGAGGUUGGAAAGCUCCGGCGGUGCAGGAUGAGCCCGCGGCCUAUCAGCUUGUUGGUGAGGUAACGGCUCACCAAGGCGACGACGGGUAGCCGGCCUGAGAGGGCGACCGGCCACACUGGGACUGAGACACGGCCCAGACUCCUACGGGAGGCAGCAGUGGGGAAUAUUGCACAAUGGGCGAAAGCCUGAUGCAGCGACGCCGCGUGAGGGAUGACGGCCUUCGGGUUGUAAACCUCUUUCAGCAGGGAAGAAGCGAGAGUGACGGUACCUGCAGAAGAAGCGCCGGCUAACUACGUGCCAGCAGCCGCGGUAAUACGUAGGGCGCAAGCGUUGUCCGGAAUUAUUGGGCGUAAAGAGCUCGUAGGCGGCUUGUCACGUCGGAUGUGAAAGCCCGGGGCUUAACCCCGGGUCUGCAUUCGAUACGGGCAGGCUAGAGUUCGGUAGGGGAGAUCGGAAUUCCUGGUGUAGCGGUGAAAUGCGCAGAUAUCAGGAGGAACACCGGUGGCGAAGGCGGAUCUCUGGGCCGAUACUGACGCUGAGGAGCGAAAGCGUGGGGAGCGAACAGGAUUAGAUACCCUGGUAGUCCACGCCGUAAACGGUGGGCACUAGGUGUGGGCACAUUCACGUGUCCGUGCCGCAGCUACGCAAUAGUGCCCGGCUUGGGG